AUUGAACGCUGGCGGCAUGCUUUACACAUGCAAGUCGAACGGCAGCACGAGUGCUUGCACUUGGUGGCGAGUGGCGGACGGGUGAGUAAUACAUCGGAACGUAUCCUUAAGUGGGGGAUAACGCAUCGAAAGAUGUGCUAAUACCGCAUAUUCUCUGUGGAGGAAAGUAGGGGAUCGAAAGACCUUAUGCUUAUGGAGCGGCCGAUGCCUGAUUAGCUUGUUGGUGGGGUAAUGGCCUACCAAGGCGACGAUCAGUAGUUGGUCUGAGAGGACGACCAGCCACACUGGGACUGAGACACGGCCCAGACUCCUACGGGAGGCAGCAGUGGGGAAUUUUGGACAAUGGGCGAAAGCCUGAUCCAGCAAUGCCGCGUGAGUGAAGAAGGCCUCGGUUGUAAGACUCUUUAGUUAAGUAAGAAAGGUUAGUACGACUAAUAAUACACAAUUAAUUAGACGGU
rnacentral:rRNA from 1 species